GACGAACGCUGGCGGCGUGCCUAACACAUGCAAGUCGAACGGGGAUAGGGAGCUUGCUUCCUAUUCUAGUGGCGCACGGGUGAGUAACGCGUAGAUAAUCCGCCUGACGAUCCGGGAUAACAUCUCGAAAGGGGUGCUAAUACCGGAUAAGCCCACGGGGUCUUUGGAUCUUGCGGGAAAAGGGGGGGACCUUUUGGCCUUCUGUCGUCAGAUGAGUCUGCGUACCAUUAGCUAGUUGGUAGGGUAAAGGCCUACCAAGGCUACGAUGGUUAGCUGGUUUGAGAGAACGAUCAGCCACACUGGAACUGAGGCACGGUCCAGACUCCUACGGGAGGCAGCAGUGGGGAAUUUUGCCCAAUGGGCGAAAGCCUGACGCAGCAACGCCGCGUGAGUGAUGAAGGCUUUCGGGUCGUAAAGCUCUGUCGAGGGGAAGAAGUGCAGUGGUGCUAAUAUCGCCAUUGUUUGACGGUACCCUCAAAGGAAGCACCGGCUAACUCCGUGCCAGCCGCCGCAGUAACAC
rnacentral:rRNA from 1 species